GUGCUUGCUUCGGCAGCACAUAUACUAAAACUGGAACGAUAUAGAAGAUUAGCAUGGCCCCUGCGCAAGGAUGACACGAAAAUUUGUGAAGUGUUCCAUAUUUAA